rnacentral:rRNA from 2 species
GUGCAAUGGCAUAAGCCAGCUUGACUGCGAGCGUGACGGCGCGAGCAGGUGCGAAAGCAGGUCAUAGUGAUCCGGUGGUUCUGAAUGGAAGGGCCAUCGCUCAACGGAUAAAAGGUACUCCGGGGAUAACAGGCUGAUACCGCCCAAGAGUUCAUAUCGACGGCGGUGUUUGGCACCUCGAUGUCGGCUCAUCACAUCCUGGGGCUGAAGUAGGUCCCAAGGGUAUGGCUGUUCGCCAUUUAAAGUGGUACGCGAGCUGGGUUUAGAACGUCGUGAGACAGUUCGGUCCCUAUCUGCCGUGGGCGCUGGAGAACUGAGGGGGGCUGCUCCUAGUACGAGAGGACCGGAGUGGACGCAUCACUGGUGUUCGGGUUGUCAUGCCAAUGGCACUGCCCGGUAGCUAAAUGCGGAAGAGAUAAGUGCUGAAAGCAUCUAAGCACGAAACUUGCCCCGAGAUGAGUUCUCCCUGAGACUUUAGGUCUCCUGAAGGAACGUUGAAGACGACGACGUUGAUAGGCCGGGUGUGUAAGCGCAGCGAUGCGUUGAGCUAACCGGUACUAAUGAACCGUGAGGCUUAACCUUACAACGCCG